AUAACAGUUGGACUCUCGGUCUACCGAGCAAUUUCACCCUCUCGGUAGAAGAUCAUCCCUUCGUCGU
rnacentral:pre_miRNA from 1 species